rnacentral:rRNA from 1 species
UACGGAGGGUGCGAGCGUUGUCCGGAAUCACUGGGCGUAAAGGGCGCGUAGGCGGCCUGCCAAGCGUGUGGUGAAAGCCCGGGGCUCAACCCCGGGUCGGCCGUGCGGACUGGCGUGCUCGAGCACUGUAGGGGCGGGUGGAAUUCCGGGUGUAGCGGUGGAAUGCGUAGAGAUCCGGAAGAACACCGGUGGCGAAGGCGGCCCGCUGGGCAGGAAGGCUCGCAAGAGCCGGCUGACGCUGAGGCGCGACAGCGUGGGGAGCAAACAGG